rnacentral:rRNA from 1 species
AUUGAACGCUGGCGGAAUGCUUUACACAUGCAAGUCGAACGGCAGCACGGGGGCAGCCCUGGUGGCGAGUGGCGAACGGGUGAGUAAUACAUCGGAACGUGCCCGGUCGUGGGGGAUAACGUAGCGAAAGUUACGCUAAUACCGCAUACGAUCUGAGGAUGAAAGCGGGGGACCUUCGGGCCUCGCGCGAUCGGAGCGGCCGAUGUCAGAUUAGGUAGUUGGUGGGGUAAAGGCCUACCAAGCCGGCGAUCUGUAGCUGGUCUGAGAGGACGACCAGCCACACUGGGACUGAGACACGGCCCAGACUCCUACGGGAGGCAGCAGUGGGGAAUUUUGGACAAUGGGCGCAAGCCUGAUCCAGCCACUCCGCGUGCAGGACGAAGGCCUUCGGGUUGUAAACUGCUUUUGUACGGAACGAAAAGGCUCUGGCUAAUACCUGGGGCUCAUGACGGUACCGUAAGAAUAAGCACCGGCUAACUACGUG